GUGUGAGUGCUGUUUGUGGUUCUUGUUGCCCGGAAAGAUGGUUUGUUCGGCGGGAAGCCAGUUCUGAAAGAUUUCCUUUGUGUUCUAGGAUGCGGUGACGAAAGCAUACACGCACGGUGACGUUGACGCUCCCAUAGCAAUGAGAGAGAAGUAGAAAUCGUUUCAAUUCUACGGCGAAGGGCAAGUGACAAGAAGUGUGACUCAGAGAAGCAAUUACUACAACAGGAAGUCCCGGCGCCCGCGAGUCCUUGGCUGGGUCUGAUUCCCGCCCGAAGGUGUGCAGAAGCCCCGCGCCCAAUGGUCUCCGCCGCCCAUUCAACCGCACGCCCACGACAGACCUUGCCUGUGGGGGCUUGACCACCGUUAGCGUGAAAGGAGAAUGUCGCAAAUGCAUAAACGCCGUCCAGACAAUCAUGAUCGUGACAUGAACCUCAGGAGUGAUAAUCCGGCCUUGAUACCGAAACCCGCUGGCAGUUAUCGUGAGGAAUCUACAGGACACUGAGAUUCCUGAGAAGUUCUUUACAGACAUUCUGCUCAGACUUAUAACGGAAACUUCACGAGGUCUAAAAUUACCUAGAGACAGAGGCAAUAAGAAGCAAUGCCACGCGUAUGCAGCUGCGGCCUGAGCUGUGCCUGCGGAGGAAUGACAAG